AUUAUGUCGUGGUGACCGGUUUAUGAACGCUGAUAUAAUGGCAGGCAGGCUGUGAUUGGCAUUUCCUUCCGACUUUUGUAAAUGAAACAUUGACGAAUCUUUAUGUACGUGGAAGCUGUUGUUCGUGGAGUCCAAUGUCGUUGGAGUGUUGACAAUGCUGUAAUAUAUGCAAGAACUAUUAAUAUAAAUAUAAAAAAACUGAGUAUGGACGUUACUAUUUCUUAUUGUCUUGUGAAUGGAAAAGCACCAUGUUGAUGGUUUUCAUGGUAUGGAGAAAACGUCGAUGUCUUCAUCGUUAUCAAAGUUCGAAUCAGUGAUAACCUUGACUGUUUUGAAACAGUCGGUAUGAUUGUGGUUACUUACUUGGAAGCGUUUCAUGAAGCCAUUUGAUAUAAUAGGCUUGAUUGGCAGUACAGUCUUCUGUGGCUGUUUUAAGUGGCAAGUUUCGCAAAGAUUGAUAUACUCUUCAAAAACCGAUCUUGGGAUACCCCAAAAUGAACUUGAAACCUUAGUAGGAAAAAUACGAAUUGAGUAGUUAUUUGUAUCAAUCUUUAUAUUUUGUCUAGGGUACAAUUUUUUAUGUAAAUAUAGUUAUUAAUUCUGAUAAGAAAACACUAAUACCUUUU